rnacentral:rRNA from 1 species
CAUGCCGUAAACGAUGAAUACCAGCUGUUGGCGAUAGACAGUCAGCGGCGUAAGCGAAAGCGUUAAGUAUUCCACCUGGGGAGUACGCCGGCAACGGUGAAACUCAAAGGAAUUGACGGGGGCCCGCACAAGCGGAGGAACAUGUGGUUUAAUUCGAUGAUACGCGAGGAACCUUACCCGGGCUUGAAUUGCAACCGAAUAAUCGAGAGAUCGAUUAGCCGCAAGGCGGUUGUGAAGGUGC